rnacentral:rRNA from 1 species
UACGUAGGGCGCAAGCGUUAUCCGGAAUUAUUGGGCGUAAAGAGCUCGUAGGCGGUUUGUCACGUCUGCUGUGAAAUCCCGAGGCUCAACCUCGGACCUGCAGUGGGUACGGGCAGACUAGAGUGCGGUAGGGGAGACUGGAAUUCCUGGUGUAGCGGUGAAAUGCGCAGAUAUCAGGAGGAACACCAAUGGCGAAGGCAGGUCUCUGGGCCGCUACUGACGCUGAGGAGCGAAAGCGUGGGGAGCAAACAGG